CUUACGGGUGGCAGCAGUGGGGAAUAUUGGACAAUGGGCGAAAGCCUGAUCCAGCCAUGCCGCGUGUGUGAAGAAGGCCUUCGGGUUGUAAAGCACUUUCAGUGGGGAAGAAAGCCUUGGGGCUAAUACCCUCGAGGAAGGACAUCACCCACAGAAGAAGCACCGGCUAACUCCGUGCCAGCAGCCGCGGUAAUACGGAGGGUGCGAGCGUUAAUCGGAAUUACUGGGCGUAAAGCGCGCGUAGGCGGUCUGAUAAGCCGGUUGUGAAAGCCCCGGGCUCAACCUGGGAACGGCAUCCGGAACUGUCAGGCUAGAGUGCAGGAGAGGAAGGUAGAAUUCCCGGUGUAGCGGUGAAAUGCGUAGAGAUCGGGAGGAAUACCAGUGGCGAAGGCGGCCUUCUGGACUGACACUGACGCUGAGGUGCGAAAGCGUGGGUAGCAAACAGGAUUAGAUACCCGGGUAGUC
rnacentral:rRNA from 1 species